rnacentral:hammerhead_ribozyme from 1 species
AUCCAGAUGACAAGUCUCAAAUAAGACGAAAUCUGAAUCCUGGAU